GGAGUUAGCCGGUGCUUCUUCUGUGAGUGAUGUCCUUCCUGCCGGUUAUUGACCCGCAGGCCUUCUUCCUCACUGAAAGUGCUUUACAACCCGAAGGCCUUCUUCACACACGCGGCAUGGCUGGAUCAGGGUUGCCCCCAUUGUCCAAUAUUCCCCACUGCUGCCUCCCGUAGGAGUCUGGGCCGUGUCUCAGUCCCAGUGUGGCUGAUCAUCCUCUCAGACCAGCUACGGAUCGUCGCCUUGGUGAGCCGUUACCUCACCAACCAGCUAAUCCGACAUAGGCUCAUCCGAUAGCGCGAGGCCCGAAGGUCCCCCGCUUUCCCCCGUAGGGCGUAUGCGGUAUUAGCCUGGGUUUCCCCAGGUUAUCCCCCACUACCGGGCAGAUUCCUAUGCAUUACUCACCCGUCCGCCGCUCGCCACCAGGGAGCAAGCUCCCCGUGCUGCCGCUCGACUUGCAUGUGUUAGGCCUGCCGCCACGCGUCAUCUGAACCAAGANACAAUUACUGA
rnacentral:rRNA from 1 species